rnacentral:rRNA from 1 species
CAUCGCCUCCUGCAAAGCAAAUAUAGGAGGUCCAGCCUGCCCAGUGACUUCAAGUUCAACGGCCGCGGUAUUCUGACCGUGCAAAGGUAGCGCAAUCACUCGUCCCUUAAAUAAGGUCCUGUAUGAAUGGCUAGACGAGGGCUUAACUGUCUCCCCCUUCAGGUCAGUGAAAUUGAUCUAUCCGUGCAGAAGCGGAUAUAAUAAUACAAGACGAGAAGACCCUUUGGAGCUUCAGGUACAAAACUUAUCUACGUUAAAUAAUCUAAUCAAAGCACAGAACCUAGUAAGAGUAAGAUUAUACCUUCGGUUGGGGCGACCAUGGAGGAAAAAACAGCCUCCGAGUGGAUUGGACACAUCCCAAAAACUAAGAGAAACAUCUCUACGUCACAGAACAUCUGACCAACUAUGAUCCGGUCAUAUGACCGAUCAACGGACCAAGUUACCCUAGGGAUAACAGCGCAAUCCUCUCCAAGAGUCCAUAUCGACGAGGGGGUUUACGACCUCGAUGUUGGAUCAGGACAUCCUAAUGGUGCAGCCGCUAUUAAGGGUUCGUUUGUUCAACGAUUAAUAGUCCUACGUGAUCUG